UACGUACGAGGCGAGCGUUAUCCGGAAUUACUGGGCGUAAAGCGCGCGUAGGCGGAUCUGCAAGUCGGGGGUGAAAUCCCGAGGCUCAACCUCGGAACUGCCUUCGAUACUGCGGGUCUCGAGUCCGGGAGAGGUGAGUGGAAUUCCUAGUGUAGAGGUGAAAUUCGUAGAUAUUAGGAAGAACACCAGUGGCGAAGGCGGCUCACUGGCCCGGUACUGACGCUGAGGCGCGAAAGCGUGGGGAGCAAACAGG
rnacentral:rRNA from 1 species